CAAGGAUGUGCUCCACCAAAAUGAGGAUAUGAAGCCAAUAUAAAGGAAGGCAAUGAAUACAAGAGACAGGCAAAGGGAGUUCCCAGGACAUAAGCAAGGGACGUCCCAGGUAGCAAGUGUGCACCUGGUGUCCAGGGCCAUCUGUCCAGGGAGAAGUCAGCUGCCAUGUCAUGAAGACGCUCGAGUAGCCCUAUGAGAUUCCCAUGUGAACAGAAAUUGAGUCCUCCUGCCAACAAUCAGCCAUAAUUUGCAAGACACGUACAUGAGCUACCUUAGAAGAGAAUCCCUGGGCCCCAGAUAAGCCUUCAGGUGAAUGCAGCCCUGGAAGACAUCUUAACUGCAACCUCAUGAGAGACCCUGAGCCAGAACCAACCAGCUAAGGCACUGCCCGAUUCCUGACCUACACGCAUGGGGGCAUGGUGGCUCACUCCUGUAAUGCCAGCACUUUGGGAAGCCGACGUGGGUUGAUCACUUGAGCCCAGGAGUUCAAGACUAGCCUGGCCAACAUGGCGAAAGCCCGUCUCUACUAAAAAUACAAAAAUUAACUGGGCAUGGUGGUACACACCUGUAAUCCCAGCUACCCAGGAAGAUGAGGUACAAAAAUCGCUGGAACCUGGGAGGAGGAUGUUGCAGUGAGCUGAGAUUGAGCCACUGCCCUCCAGCCUGGGCAACAGAGACUCUGUUUCAGAAACAAAAACAAAAACAAAAGCAACAACAAAAAAAAUUCCUAUUGAAAUUUAACUUACAUGUGAUAAAAUUAAUGUAACAUUUUAUAUAUAUUAUAUAUAAAAUAUAUACUUAUAUAUUAUAUAUACUUAUAUAUAAUGCAUUAUAUAUGCUUAUAUAUAAUGUAUUAUAUAUGCUUAUAUAUUAUAUAAUACAUCUUCUAAUAUAUGUGUGUAAUAUAUAAUGUAACCUGUAUAUCAGUUUCACAGAUGUUAACUUAACAAGCAAAGUUCAUUGAACCAUGCAUUUGUAUUCUAUGCACUUUGUUAUAUAUCACAGUUUAAAAGGUCCAAAGUAGAGUAUAGACAGGCACAGUGGUUCAUGCCUGUAAUCCCAGCACUUAGGGAGGCAGAGGCAGGAGGAUAGCUUGAGCUCAGGAGUUCAAGACCUGACGGGGCAACAGAGCAAGAUCCUGUUCUCCACAGACAGGAAAAGAGAAAGUAGAGUAUAAAUACAGCAUAGGAUCUUGAAAAUCAGACUGGAUCAAAAGGUGACCAUGAACUAGCAAUUAAGGUUCUGUUUAAAAACAACUAACACGUGUUGGGACAUAAGAAUUAGGGUAGCACACAAUAAACUAUCUCCUGGCUUAUAUUUUUUAAAUAUCACUGGGUGGGUCAGUAGUCUGAACCUGGUUGCCAAGGCAGUUCCUAAACCUGGGGAGUAUGACUGAUAAGUUUUUCACCUUGACAGCAGAAAGCAGUUGGGCCCAAGAGAGGGUAGGCUUGAUGCUAGCAAAAUUAUGAAGAUGAAGCCUUAAGUACCUUAUCUUGUUUGUGCUUGCCCCUUGCUCUGCUUCUCUACACCUUUGGAUUCUCAGCAGCCUGCUGCUUUUCUACACCUUUGGAUUCUCAGCAGCCUGUGUAUUUGUGUACUUAUCCCCCUUCCCUUCCUGUCAUCUACCCAUUUCCAAAGCCAAGGCAGGUCUAAAGUCCUGCUUUGUUGACUUCUGGUUCAAUCAGGGGUGUUUCUAUCAUAUCACACUGGCUGAAGGUAUUUGUACCUUAACCUUGAUCUCUGAUUAUGAAUGAAAGGUUUUGGGUCCUAUUAAAGAAAUUUUCAUCACCACUGACUAGUUAUUUGAGGUGUAUUUUGGGUGAGGUGGGCCUUGCUGCCCCUGGGGUAGCACCUUGUAAGCUCUGGUAUGGUAUGCCCUGGGGAGAAGGUGUCAGCUAACUUUUAAAAAUCACUGCAGGUGAUUCAGAUAUGACAACCUGUAUCCUGUAUGACAACCUGCCUUCUGUCCACACCCCGUCUCUCAAUGAGAACCACCUUUUACAGGAAGGCCACUCAUAAGCAGAUAUAUCUAUUUAUUCAUUCAUUAAACAACUAUUUCUUGAGCUCUAACUGUGUCUGGCUAUGGGCUAGCACUGGUGACUCAGGGUUGAACAGAAACAGGCAUAGGCCAUGCAUGGUUUAGUGCAAGACACACAUUAAUCAAGGCAAGCAGGUAAAUGUAAAGUUACCAGUCAGGUAAGUGUCGUAAAUCUGGGUUUACUCAACAUAAAGACAGGUGAAUUGAGAGUUAGCUUAAUAAUUAUGAUUUUCAAGUAUAAGAUGAAUAAAUUAUGUAGAGGAGAAUAUUAUACACUGUAAAAAAGACAUAAAAAAGGAAGUUUGCUGUAGCAUAAAGAAUUUAAGGUAAUGGCUACCAUAGUCAGAGGGCCUGCUCUGUGCCAAGCAUGGUGUUAUUUUAUUUUAUUUUUUUAUUUUUGAGACUGAGUCUUGCUUUGUUGCCCAAGCUGGAGUGCAAUGGUACGAUCUCAGCUCACCAUAACUUCUGCCUCCUGGGCUCAAGCAAUUCUCCUGCCUCAGCCUCCCGAGUAGCUGGUACUACAGGCAUGCACCACCACGCCCGGCUAAUUUUUGUAUCUUUAGUAGAGACAGAGUUUCAUGUGAGCCAGGCUGGUCUCGAACUCCUCACCUCAAGUGAUCCACCUGCCUGGGCCUCCCAAAGUGCUGGGAUUAUAGGCAUGAGUCACUGUACCCAGCCUGCUGUUAUUUUAUAUAUUAAAAAUUUUACAUAAAUAUAUUUUACAUAUUUUUAUAUUUUUAUAAAAUAGUGAUUAUAUAUUAUCAUUUAUUAAACUCAUAUAUAUUGAUAAAGCCUCACAGAACCCUACAGAGAUUUAAAAAAGCAAUACUUAGAGAUAUUAGAUAAUCUGUUCUAGGUCACCCAACAUAUAUAUAUUUAAUAACAGCUUUAUUGAUAUAUAAUUCACAUACCAUAACAUUCACCCUUUUAAAAUAUAAAAUUCAGUGGGUUUUAGCAUAUUCAUGUACUUGUAAAUUACCACUAUCUAAUUUUAGAACAUCUUCAUCACCCCCAAAGAAAUCCUGUACACAUUAGCUUCUACCUUUCAUUCCCCCUCACCUCUGCCAGUUCCUGGUAACCACAAAUCUACUUUCUUUCUGUAUGGAUUUGCCUAUUCUGGACAUUUCAGUAAUGUUUUCAAGAUUCAUUCAUGUUAUAUUGUAUAUCAGUACUUUGUUUCUCUUUGUUGCUGAGUAAUAUUCCAUUGUAUGAAUAACCUCAUUUUGUUCACUCUUCAGUUGAUGAACAUUUGAGUUGUCUCCACUUUUUGGCUAUUAUAAAUAAUGCUGCUAUGAAUAUUUAUGUACAAGUUUCCAUGUAGACAUAUGUUUUCAGAUCUCUUGGGUUUAUUUCUAGGAGAAGAAAUGCUAGAUCAUGUGGUAACUCUAUGUUUAACAUUUUGAGAACCGCCAAACUAUUUUCCAAAGUGGCUGCAUCAUUUUACAACCUAUCAGCAAUGUAUGAGGGUUCCCAUUUCUCUACAUUCUUGUUAACAUUAUUUAAGGUAUCCUAGUGAGUGUGAUGUGGUAUCUCAUUGUGGUUUUGAUUUGCAUUUCCUCACCAGCUAAAAUUCAUGAAAUUCAGAUUCAAGUUCAGGUCCAAAGCCAGAGUUUUAGCCACUGUGCAAUACCAUCUCUCUCAUGCUCCUAGAAGUAAGGAAGAAUACGUUGAUAAGAUUGUAACGCACUGGAUUGAAUUUUAAUUAUCAUCUGGGUAUUCACCUCUAGAAGCUUUUAAAAACAAGGGCUUUUUUGUUGUUGUUGUUUUGUUUUUUUGAGACAGUCUUGCUCUGUCACCUAGGCUGUAGUGCAGUGGCGUGAUCUAGGCUCACUGCAACCUGUGCAAUUCUCAUGCCUCAGCCUCCCAAGUUGCUGGGAUUACAGGUGUGUGCCAC
rnacentral:lncRNA from 10 species